GGACCGGGAUAACCCUGGGAAACUGGGGCUAAUACUGGAUAGGCAAUUAUUCCUGCAAUGGUUUUUUGUUUAAAUGUUUUUCGCCUAAGGAUGGGUCUGCGGCCGAUUAGGUAGUUGGUUAGGUAAUGGCUUACCAAGCCGUUGAUCGGUACGGGUUGUGAGAGCAAGAGCCCGGAGAUGGAACCUGAGACAAGGUUCCAGGCCCUACGGGGUGCAGCAGGCGCGAAACCUCCGCAAUGUGAGAAAUCGCGACGGGGGGAUCCCAAGUGCCAUUCUUAACGGGAUGGCUUUUCAUUAGUGUAAAGAGCUUUUGGAAUAAGAGCUGGGCAAGACCGGUGCCAGCCGCCGCGGUAACACCGGCAGCUCUAGUGGUAACAAUUUUUAUUGGGCCUAAAGCGUCCGUAGCCGGUUUAAUAAGUCUCUGGUGAAAUCCUGUAGCUUAACUGUGGGAAUUGCUGGAGAUACUAUUAGACUUGAGACCGGGAGAGGUUAGAGGUACUCCCAGGGUAGAGGUGAAAUUCUGUAAUCCUGGGAGGACCGCCUGUUGCGAAGGCGUCUAACUGGAACGGUUCUGACGGUGAGGGACGAAAGUUAGGGGCGCGAACCGGAUUAGAUACCCGGGUAGUCCUAACUGUAAACGAUGCGGACUUGGUGUUGGGGUGGCUUUGAGCUGCUCCAGUGCCGAAGGGAAGCUGUUAAGUCCGCCGCCUGGGAAGUACGGUCGCAAGACUGAAACUUAA
rnacentral:rRNA from 1 species